UACGAAGGGGGCUAGCGUUGCUCGGAAUCACUGGGCGUAAAGCGCACGUAGGCGGAUCGCUAAGUCAGGGGUGAAAUCCUGGAGCUCAACUCCAGAACUGCCUUUGAUACUGGCAAUCUCGAGUCCGGGAGAGGUGAGUGGAACUGCGAGUGUAGAGGUGAAAUUCGUAGAUAUCGAGAGGAACACCGGUGGCGAAGGCGGCCUUCUGGACAGUGACUGACGCUGAGACACGAAAGCGUGGGGAGAAAACAGG
rnacentral:rRNA from 1 species